rnacentral:misc_RNA from 1 species
GAUGAAGAACGCAGCGAAAUGUGAUAAGUAAUGUGAAUUGCAGAAUUCAGUGAAUCAUCGAAUCUUUGAACGCACAUUGCGCCCCUUGGUAUUCCGAGGGGCAUGCCUGUUCGAGCGUCAUUUCAACCCUCAAGCACAGCUUGGUCUUGGGCUUCGCCGCUAACCCGGCGGGUCUUAAAAUCAGUGGCGGUGCCGUCGGGCCCUGAGCGCAGUAAUCUCUCUCGCUAUAGGGUCCCGGCGGAUGCUGGCCAGUAACCCCCAAUUUUCUAUGGUUGACCUCGGAUCAGGUAGGGAUACCCGCUGAACUUAAGCAUAUCAAUAAGCGGAGGA